GGAGACGCUGCGCGUGCGCGCAGGGCAGACGGUAGAGCGGAGACGACGCUCCCAGACUCCUCCGGUCUCCCCGGGCAGCAUGAAGACCGCCGAGAACAUCAGAGGAACCGGCAGCGACGGGCCGCGGAAACGAGGCCUCUGCGUCCUCUGUGGCCUCCCCGCGGCAGGAAAAUCGACUUUCGCGCGCGCCCUCGCCCACCGGCUGCAGCAGGAGCAGGGUUGGGCCAUCGGUGUUGUCGCGUAUGAUGACGUCAUGCCCGACGCGUUUCUCGCCGGGGCAAGAGCGCGACCGGCGCCAUCCCAAUGGAAAUUGCUUCGACAGGAACUGUUGAAGUACCUGGAAUACUUCUUGAUGGCUGUCAUUAAUGGGUGUCAGAUGUCUGUCCCACCCAACAGGACUGAAGCCAUGUGGGAAGAUUUUAUAACCUGCUUAAAGGAUCAAGAUCUGAUAUUUUCUGCAGCAUUUGAGGCCCAGUCUUGCUACCUCUUAACAAAAACUGCUGUUUCUAGACCUUUGUUUUUGGUUUUGGAUGACAAUUUUUAUUAUCAGAGUAUGAGAUAUGAAGUCUACCAGCUGGCUCGGAAAUAUUCGUUGGGCUUUUGCCAGCUCUUUUUAGAUUGUCCUCUUGAGACCUGUUUACAGAGGAAUGGCCAGAGGCCACAGGCACUGCCUCCUGAGACCAUCCACCUGAUGGGAAGAAAGCUAGAAAAGCCCAACCCUGAGAAAAAUGCUUGGGAACACAACAGCCUCACAAUUCCGAGUCCAGCAUGUGCUUCGGAGGCCAGCCUGGAAGUGACUGAUUUAUUGCUCACUGCUUUGGAAAAUCCAGUAAAAUAUGCUGAGGACAAUAUGGAACAAAAGGACACAGACAGAAUUAUUUGUUCAACUAACAUUCUUCAUAAAACUGAUCAGACACUCCGAAGGAUUGUAUCUCAGACAAUGAAGGAAGCAAAAGCCAAAAUAUGAAAAUAACCCACAUGUCCGUCAGCUGACCAACAAAAUUUGGUGUAUCCAUACAACAAAAUAUUAUUCAGCCAUAAAAAGGAAUGAAAUGCUGAUAUGUGCUAUACAAUGUGGAAUAACCUUGAAAACAUGAUGCAAAGUGCAAGAAGUCAGUCCCAAAGACCAAGUAUGAACAAGUGCUUCCUCACAACUUGAAGCUUCUAGCAGAAGAACUUAACAAGCUCAAAGCAGAGUUUUUGGAAGACCUAAAACAAGGAAACAAAAAAUAUCUGUGCUUUCAGCAAACCAUUGACAUACCAGAUGUCAUUUCUUUUUUUCAUUAUGAGAAAGAUAAUAUUGUACAGAAGUAUUUUUCAAAGCAGCAUUAAAAUUUCUGAACUGCCAA